GGGUAAAUAGCUUAGAUGGUUAGAGCAUUCGGCUCAUAUACGUCGCUUUGCGCCGUUUGCAUGAGAAGAAAUUAUUGAAAUUUGCGCUUACGCGCAUUUGCAUCCGAAAGGUCUGUGGUUCGAGUCCACAUUUACCCA
rnacentral:tRNA from 1 species